rnacentral:rRNA from 1 species
CCUACGGGAGGCAGCAGUGGGGAAUCUUGCGCAAUGGGCGAAAGCCUGACGCAGCCAUGCCGCGUGAAUGAUGAAGGUCUUAGGAUUGUAAAAUUCUUUCACCGGGGACGAUAAUGACGGUACCCGGAGAAGAAGCCCCGGCUAACUUCGUGCCAGCAGCCGCGGUAAUACGAAGGGGGGCUAGCGUUGCUCGGAAUUACUGGGCGUAAAGGGAGCGUAGGCGGAUAGUUUAGUCAGAGGUGAAAGCCCAGGGCUCAACCUUGGAAUUGCCUUUGAUACUGGCUAUCUUGAGUAUGGGAGAGGUUAGCGGAACUCCGAGUGUAGAGGUGAAAUUCGUAGAUAUUCGGAAGAACACCAGUGGCGAAGGCGGCUAACUGGCCCAUUACUGACGCUGAGGCUCGAAAGCGUGGGGAGCAAACAGGAUUAGAUACCCUGGUAGUCCACGCCGUAAACGAUGAGUGCUAGUUGUCGGCAUGCAUGCAUGUCGGUGACGCAGCUACGACAUAAGACACNCCGCCGUGGGAGGUACGGUCGCGAGAUAAACUACAANAGAGUAGACGCGNGAGACGUGCCGACGGACGACGACGAGGGAGGUAGG